ACCACCUCCACCUUUGGCUUCAUUUUUCACUCCCCACUCACUCCUCCACCUUAUCUACACCCUCAUAACUCUCUCCUACCACACCCCCACGAAAAUGCUGCUCCUCCUAGCUCCAUGGCCGGCCAUGGCCAUGGAAAGCCACCAAGAUGAAGCUCCCCUCCUCCCUCAAGCUCCCCCUCCCCAUGAGAGCAUUCCUCUCACUCUCUUCUCCCCCAACACUAGCUGGUUUCCUCUCCUCUUCUUCUUCCUCCAUUGCUAAUAUUGGAUCUUGAUGCAGGUGCAUGUUGGUCCAAGCAUGGAGAAGGUUGAGCAAUCCUCAGAUCUGAAGCUCUUGACCAAAAUCCAAAUCAAGUGAUUCAAAGUUCCACAGAUAGGUAUUGAAAAGAUCUACAACUUGGCGUUGGUCUCAUCCUCAAAUUCGUCACGGAUUUUUCAUGAUCAAGAUCUGUUCAGAUCUGGCUUUGUCGAAUUAAACUAGGAGCUUGGAAACGAAUUUUUGAAUGAAACCAAUUGGAUGCGAACAAUUCCGGAGAAGAAGAAGAAGUGGAAUCGGACGAGGAUUUUAUUUAUGUUGUUGGGAUUCUUAUAUUGAUGGAGUUGAAAAAGUAUAGGGACAAAUAAGCCAAGGCAAGCCAUCUUUUGAUCUCUUGCUGUUUAUCCUUCU